GCCUCUCUGGUGGCAGAGUCAAACUAGGUGGGCCGUCGCCGCCAUUAUCUCCGAUCGUAGCAACCUGGGUCUCUUGCUCUGCCUCCACCUCGCCUUGGCAACAGAGAAUUUCCCUGCCAUGUCUGUGUCUCGAUCCAGCUAUGGAGAUGCGUUUUUCUCUCAUCUUAGCGUACUUGCAGGGCAGCGUUGCAUGUCUUCACACGGCUGUGGACGAUAAGGUGUUGUAAUUGGGAUUCAAGUGAGGUGGGUCAAAUCAUACCUCCCCUUCUCCAUGUAAAUAUGUGUUUCAGGAUUGGCCAUGGGUUCCCCUUCACAUUAUUUUAACCCUGUACACCUUCCUUCCUUCUGGGUGGACUCCCUUCUGUUCCUCCUACUGCAGCAUUCGUACUUGUGUCGUGUGCAUCGUGCUGAAAAAUAUUGAGAAGUACAGGUAUUGUUCCGCCUGUACAACAAGAACAGGUUUUAUGUGUGUGAGAGUACAUGUAGAGACUUGAUCUCAUAUGCAAAGAGAUUAAUUGAUGAUAGCAACAGACUUGUACUUGUAUAUAUUUUUCUUCCGCAAGGGGAUAGCUUUGGAACCAUCUACUUGACAGAUAGCAAAUUUGUUAUACUAGCUGCAAUAUAUUGAUUUUUUAAG
rnacentral:lncRNA from 1 species